rnacentral:rRNA from 1 species
UCCUACGGGGCGCAGCAGUGAGGAAUAUUGGUCAAUGGUCGGGAGACUGAACCAGCCAAGCCGCGUGAGUGAAGAAGUAUUUCGGUAUGUAAAGCUCUAUCAGCAGGGAAGAAAAAAGACGGUACCUGACUAAGAAGCCCCGGCUAACUACGUGCCAGCAGCCGCGGUAAUACGAGGGGGGCAAGCGUUAUCCGGAUUUACUGGGUGUAAAGGGAGCGUAGACGGUGCGUCAAGUCUGAAGUGAAAGCCCGGGGCUUAACCCCGCGACUGCUUUGG